rnacentral:lncRNA from 1 species
UUAACACUGGGCCAGAGUCCUCCAAUGCUGUUGUAGCAGGGGAAGGAAAAGUUGCUGCCUCAUUGCUGCCAACUGAGAGCGAACUUCUAGAUUACCCAUUCAGUUUCUGUUGGCACCUGAAGGGGAUUAAGUUCUUGUUACUGUUGUGCAGGUGUGUGAUUUUUGGCUCUCCAUUACAGCUCCACUGAUACUUUCUUGACUGAUAGUAAGAACGGUUCAUUAUUCCUCUCAGGUGGCUUUCAUUGAAACCACGGGGCAAGGGGCAGAGGAAAUAAGUCCCCUUUCUGCUUAGUGGUGAAAAUCCUGACUUUCCGCUAGGCCUCCUGUGACAUUCCUCCAGGAACAUUUUGUUACUUGCAGAACUUUUGCUAAUUACAAGCAUAACGAUCACAUUUUUGUGAGUUCAAUUAUCUUCAUGGAAUCUAUCAGAGUCUUCAGUGCUAAAACUGGAAGAAGAAAAAUAAAGACUACAGUUUUUCUGAAAAUUGAGAGGUCAUGAAAGUAGGAAGUAUAAUUCCAUCAACAGUGGCACAAUCGUAGUUCAUUGCAACUUUGAACUCCUGGACCCAAGAGAUCUUCCUACUUUGGCCUCCUGA